CUUGGGUCAACCGCUUCCGUCUCCACAGCAACGGAGUUUCAGAGCGCGCGGCAGCUUGAGGGCGGGGUUCACAGUCCCCUGGUCAAAUGUGAGGACUUUUCAGCAGGAAAGCUGCACAAGUGGAGGAGCGCAGGACGAGGCUGGCCUCGGCAGUCCUCCAUGGAUAUGCUAUGUAGGUUAAUGGGGCAGGUUGACUUGGAGGGAUCCCCCUCACACCUCUCCUCCAGAAACUUUCUGCACCUCCUCUUUCCUGCUGUCAUUCCAAUGGAUUCAAACAGAAAAAUCAAACAGAAGUCGGAUGGAAAACUCUGGAAAAUCCAAGAAGGGAGCUAG
rnacentral:lncRNA from 1 species